CAAGAAUCAAAUGUAUAUAUAUAUAUAUACUAUUUAAUAUUAUAAUUUAUAACGCUAUACCACUUGAACGUCUAAAACAAAGCAAUACGCAUAUAGGCUGUAGGCAUAGUUGUAGGGCAGAACUAAAGUCGACCAAGUUCCUUCUCCCGUAAAAUUGAAAAAUCAAUCAAAGACUCCUGAUUCCCCCCCGUCUCAUAAAAAAAAAGGCAAUUCUCGGGAAUCUUUUUUUAUUACUCGUAUAAGACUAAAGGAAAUAAUACCAAUAAUUGGGAUGACUGGCAGUUGACAUCAAACUUUCAGAUAUUAGAUUGUAAUAUUAAAUUACAUUUUUACUGAAUUAGG